AGAAGACAUUGCACCAUUGUGAAUGUGCAUUAAAAGCAAUGAUUUUCAUCUGCAUGCUCAUCACAUCUACAGCAACAACCAUUCUGGCAAAAGAAUGCAAUUUGUCCGAACCGACUGGAGCUCACCAGUGUUUUGGAGCAGUGGGGCAGCCGUUGACUUUUAAUCUUCCAAACACAACAAAUAGGGAGGUUCAUUUCACAAAGGAUAAAGACAAGAUGUUCAAAAUUAGAAAUAAUCAGAUAAUUAGUCAUCAUGAGUCUGUAGUCUUCACCAAACAAACAUUCAAACUCAAUAAAGCAACAAAAUGGCACUCUGGGGAUUACACAAUGGUAGAAUUUGGAUUGAAUGGUAUACAACUGAAAGAAGUGAAGGUGCAUUUAGAAAUACAAGCUCCUGUGUCAG